GUUUACUAUCUAGUCAAUGUAAACUUCACAAGAGCAGGAACGCUUCUGUCCCUUUUGUUAUAAAGUAUCCCCGGGACCUCAUAACAGUGCCUGGCAUGUACUAGGGGUUCAAUAAGUGUUUGCUAAUAAAGAGAUGCUGAGUGCAUGAGGCCCCAUGUGGGCUGCAUCACAUCCCCCAGGGAAACGCUGCUCACACCAUUACCCCAUUUCACAGAUGAGGUAAUCGAGGCUCAGAGAGGAGUCCAUAGCUAGCUAAUAAGAGGUGGAGACAGAAUUGAAACCCAGGUCUCUGACUCCAGGGCUGUGUGCUUUCCUCUCUCCAAGCACACAGCACUGGGAGAGUCUUGUCUCCAAGGCAGGCUGCAUGAGAUCAGACAGGGAGAGAGCCUUUUUUUUGUAUCUGUCUGUAUACCACAAUAUGGCUUAGGAAGGUCUUGGUGGUUAACAAGGCUCCCAAAUAGGACCCAGAACACAGGUGCUCAAUAAACAUCUGGAUGGAUGGAUGGAUGGAUGGAUGGAUGGAUGGAUGGAUGGACAUGAAUGAAUGGAUGGCUGAUGGAUAGAAAAUAGAUAAAUAUGGAUGCAUGGGUGGAUAUUAAUGAAUCUGCACAGACCCGUGUGUGGAUGGAUGGGUGAUAAAUGAAUAGGUAGAUGGGUGAUAAAUGGAUAGGUGGAUGGAUGAGUGAAUGGGUAGAUGGGUAGAUGGAUGGAAAUGAACAGAUGGAAAUGGUUGGAUGGGUGGAUAAAUGGUUGGAAGGAUGGAUGGAUGGGUGAGUGGGUAGAUGGAUGAUAAAUGGAUAGGUAGGUGGAUGGAUGAGUGAAUUAGUGGAUGGGUAAAUGGGUGGAAAAUGAACAGAUGGAAAUAGUUGGAUGGGUGGAUAAAUGGUUGGAAGGUUGGAUGGAUGGGUGAGUGGGUAGAUGGAUGAUAAAUGGAUAGGAAGGUGGAUGGAUGAGUGAAUGGGUGGAUGGGUAGAUGGAUGAAAAAACAGAUGGAAAUGGUUGGAUGGGUGGAUAAAUGGUUGGAAGGAUGGAUGGAUGGGUAAAUGGGUGAUAAAUGGAUAGGUAGAUGGAUGGAGGAGUGAAUGGGUGGACGGGUAUAUGGAUGGAAAAUGAACAGAUGAAAAUGGUUGGAUUGAUGGUUGGAUGGGUGAUUGGAUGGAUGGAUGGGUGGAUGGGUGACAAAUAGGUAGGUGGAUGGGUGGAUAGGUGAGUGGGUAGAUGAUUGGGUGGGUGGAUGGAUGGAUGCGUGGC
rnacentral:lncRNA from 1 species